UAUGUGAUCGUCUCUCGCAUAUCAAUAAGCGGAGGAAAAGAAACUAACAAGGAUUCCCCUAGUAACGGCGAGUGAAGCGGGAAGAGCUCAAAUUUGAAAUCUUAAAGGGUUUCCCUUUACGAAUUGUAGUUUAAAGAAGUGUUUUCUGUUGAGGUUUUGGUAAAAGUUCUUUGGAAUAGGACAUCAUAGAGGGUGAGAAUCCCGUAUUUGACCUUUACUUUCAACUUUGUGAUACACUUUCAAAGAGUCGGAUUGUUUGGGAAUGCAGUCCAAAAUGGGUGGUAAAUUUCAUCUAAAGCUAAAUAUUGGCGAGAGACCGAUAGCGAACAAGUACCGUGAGGGAAAGAUGAAAAGAACUUUGAAAAGAGAGUUAAACAGUACGUGAAAUUGUCAAAAGGGAAGCGUUUGACACCAGUGUUGUUUUUCUGAAAAUCAAUUAAAGAACUGUUUAUGCUAAGCUGUUUAGACUUUAUCAGCUAAUCUGUUUAGUUUUGAGCUUUUCUUUAAUGCACUUUUCAGUUAACAAGUCAACAUCAAUUUCUUUUGCUGUAAAAAAGCUUGAGGGAAGGUGGCUUGAGAUUCGUCCUUAAGUGUUUAUAGCCUCUUGCCUAUGCAGUCGGAGAGAUUGAGGUCUGCAGCGUAGAUCCUUCGGGGCUAAAUGCAUUUGUGCUAAGUUAUAGCAUUUUAUAGACAACUUGUUGACUAUGAUUUGUCUUGUAGCUUACUCGCUUAUGUUAUUUUACCUACGCUUAGGAUGUUGACUGAUAUGUAGUCGUA
rnacentral:rRNA from 1 species